rnacentral:tRNA from 1 species
UUAACUAAAGCCAAAGUAGAGGCUCCUUAUUGUUAAUAAGAGAAAUGAUUUAUUUAAAUCUAGUUAAA